GUCUUCCCGGGCCCACCAUUUGCACCAGCAAAUGCGAUUUGCUGUAGCAAAUGAGGGUUAGGGAUGAUGGAAUGAGGCUGAUGCGGAACGUUGCCGAACCUGGAUUUAUCCGGGCGAUCGAGCUGAUGGGGCUGUAGCUCAGCUGGGAGAGCACCUGCUUUGCAAGCAGGGGGUCAGCGGUUCGAUCCCGCUCAGCUCCACCAAAUCGAUUGGUGUCGAGACUGACGGCGAUGAUGUCUUCUGAAGAAAAACCAAGUUUGCACGACGCAAUCAGCGUCUGUGCCUGUUCUGCAUAUAUCGUGAAGAGAAGAUUGAUCUGGAGGCUUCCAGGUGUUGGAUUUAUCCGACGUCCGAGCCCAGUUCUUGUGAAACCAUGGAUGGCCUAGCCGGCCGGAUAUGGUGGAGGGACUGGAGGUAGGAAGGAAGCUUGUCGCUCUGGGUCGUUGUUGUUUGUCAUCUCUAGGGAUGACAUCUGACGGACGACUGGAUUGCCGUUGCCUGACCGCGCGGUAUCGGAUCAAAUCUCGAGAAGCUGGUCUUAAGACCUGACACAAGCGAGCUGCUCGGCGUAGCUCCAAUAAAGUGAUCAGGUCGAACACGUCGAUGGCAUUGUUGGAUUGACUGGGUUGUAAAAGGUAACCCGGUCUGUUGCUGUUUCUUUGAAACGGGCAACGAGAUGAUGAGCAUUGGCAAUGAGAACGAUUAAGUGUCGUAAGGGCAUUUGGUGGAUGCCUUGGCAUGCACAGGCGAUGAAGGACGUGAUACGCUGCGAAAAGCCGUGGGGAGCUGCGAAUGAGCUUUGAUCCAUGGAUCUC
rnacentral:misc_RNA from 1 species